UGGGGAAUUUUGGACAAUGGGGGAAACCCUGAUCCAGCCAUCCCGCGUGUGCGAUGAAGGCCUUCGGGUUGUAAAGCACUUUUGGCAGGAAAGAAACGUCAUGGCUUAAUACCCCGUGCAACUGACGGUACCUGCAGAAUAAGCACCGGCUAACUACGUGCCAGCAGCCGCGGUAAUACGUAGGGUUCAAGCGUUAAUCGGAAUUACUGGGCGUAAAGCGUGCGCAGGCGGUUCGGAAAGAAAGAUGUGAAAUCCCAGAGCUCAACUUUGGAACUGCAUUUUUAACUACCGGGCUAGAGGGUGUCAGAGGGAGGAGGAAUUCCGGGUGUAGGAGUGAAAUGCGUAGAUAUGCGGAGGAACGUCGAUGGGGAAGGUAGCCGGCUGGGAGAACACUGACGCUCAUGCAAGAAAGGGUGGGGAGCAAACAGG
rnacentral:rRNA from 1 species